rnacentral:rRNA from 1 species
UACGGAGGAUGCGAGCGUUAUCCGGAUUUAUUGGGUUUAAAGGGUGCGUAGGCGGGCUUUUAAGUCAGCGGUAAAAAUUCGGGGCUCAACCCCGUCGUGCCGUUGAAACUGGCGCCCUUGAGUGGGCGAGAAGUAUGCGGAAUGCGUGGUGUAGCGGUGAAAUGCAUAGAUAUCACGCAGAACCCCGAUUGCGAAGGCAGCAUACCGGCGCCCGACUGACGCUGAAGCACGAAAGCGUGGGUAUCGAACAGG